CACGUAGGGCGCAAGCGUUGUCCGGAAUUAUUGGGCGUAAAGAGCUCGUAGGCGGUCUGUUGCGUCCGCUGUGAAAACUCGGGGCUUAACCCCGAGCCUGCAGUGGAUACGGGCAGACUAGAGGUAGGUAGGGGAGAAUGGAAUUCCCGGUGUAGCGGUGAAAUGCGCAGAUAUCGGGAGGAACACCUGUGGCGAAAGCGGCGCACUGGACCAUAACUGACGCUGAUGCGCGAAAGCUAGGGGAGCAAACAGG
rnacentral:rRNA from 1 species